rnacentral:rRNA from 1 species
CGGGCGAGUAACGCGUGGAUAACCUGCCUCACACAGGGGGAUAACAGUUAGAAAUGACUGCUAAUACCGCAUAAGCGCACAGUCUCGCAUGGGACAGUGUGAAAAACUGAGGUGGUGUGAGAUGGAUCCGCGUCUGAUUAGGCAGUUGGCGGGGUAACGGCCCACCAAACCGACGAUCAGUAGCCGGCCUGAGAGGGUGAACGGCCACAUUGGGACUGAGACACGGCCCAAACUCCUACGGAAGGCAGCAG